rnacentral:ncRNA from 1 species
AUGAUAGAGGAGCGGUUACGAUGAGUAGCGGAGAUAAGUGCAGGGCAAUCAGCCAUCCGGGAAAGGCGUCGCCGCCGAAGGGAGUGGACCUGCCCAAAUCCCCUUCCUGGGUCGUUACAGAAGAUGUAACGGACUGUCACCCUGUGUGAAGCGCUAUC